AGAGUUUGAUUAUGGCUCAGGAUGAACGCUAGCGGCAGGCUUAACACAUGCAAGUCGAGGGGCAGCGCGGGUAGCAAUAUCUGGCGGCGACCGGCGAAAGGGUGAGUAACGCGUGAGCAACGUGCCCGUCUGAGGGGGAUAGUCAUUGGAAACGAUGCGUAAUACCCCGUAACAACAGUCACCGCAUGGUGGGUGUUUGAAAGAUUUAUUGCAGACGGAUCGGCUCGCGUACCAUUAGCUAGUUGGCGGGUAACGGCCCACCAAGGCAACGAUGGUUAGGGGUUCUGAGAGGAAGGUCCCCCACAUUGGAACUGAGACACGGUCCAGACUCCUACGGGAGGCAGCAGUGAGGAAUAUUGGACAAUGGCCGGGAGGCUGAUCCAGCCAUGCCGCGUGCGGGAAGACGGCCCUAUGGGUUGUAAACCGCUUUUGUCGGGGAGCAAUAAGUAGUACGCGUACUACGAUGAGAGUACCUGGCGAAUAAGCAUCGGCUAACUCCGUGCCAGCCGCCGC
rnacentral:rRNA from 1 species